ACCGUGAGGGAAAGUUGAAAAGAACUUGAAGAGAGAGUUCAAGAGUACGUGAAACCGUUCGGAGGCAAACGGAUGGGACCGCACUCGUCCUCUCAGGAUUCAACCGUCGGGUUCUCUCGUCUCGCGUCGCUAGAUGUUUUCCGACCUCUCUCGGGGGGCGGCAUCGCGGCGGCGGCGAGCGCCCGGCGGCGCACUUUCGGAGGGGUCUCGGCCGGGACCGGUUCUCCGGCGGCGACAGACCGUACCGCCCAAGGUAACUCCUUUCGAGGAGCGUUUAGGGGCGGACGGAGGCGGCCGCGCCGGGGGACCGAGGACGUCCCGCCGCCGUGUCGGCCCCCGCGUCCCGAGGAAGGGUUCGACCGGGAAGGACUGUUCGCAGUGCUCUCCGACCGCCCGCCGCGUGGUGCACGGGAUCUCCGGCACGGGCUCAGGGUCUCCGGCCUCGCCGUCGGAACCCCAUCCGACCCGUCUUGAAACACGGACCAAGGAGUCUAACAUGCGCGCGAGUCGUAGGGUGGCAAACCCGGAGGCGCAGUGAAAGCGAAGGGGGCUCUCGAGUUCCCCGAGGCGGGAUCCCUUCGUUCUAAAAACAGAGGGCGCACCGCCGGCCCGUCUCGGUCCCUCGCGGACGAGGCGGAGCGAGAGCGCACACGUUGGGACCCGAAAGAUGGUGAACUAUGUCCGAGUAGGACGAAGCCAGAGGAAACUCUGGUGGAGGUCCGUAGCGAUUCUGACGUGCAAAUCGAUCGUCGAACUUGGGUAUAGGGGCGAAAGACUAAUCGAACCGUCUAGUAGCUGGUUCCCUCCGAAGUUUCCCUCAGGAUAGCUGGCACUCUUUCGCAGUUUCAUCCGGUAAAGCGAAUGACUAGAGGUAUCGGGGACGAAACGACCUCGACCUAUUCUCAAACUUUAAAUGGGUGAGAAGUCCGACUCGCUCGAUCGGAGUCGGGCCGUCGAAUGCGAGGGCCCAGUGGGCCACUUUUGGUAAGCAGAACUGGCGCUGUGGGAUGAACCAAACGUCCGGUUAAGGCGCCCGACGGCGACGCUCAUCGGACACCAUAAAAGGUGUUGGUCGAUACAGACAGCAGGACGGUGGCCAUGGAAGUCGGAACCCGCUAAGGAGUGUGUAACAACUCACCUGCCGAAUCGAGCAGCCCUGAAAAUGGAUGGCGCUGGAGCGUCGGGCCCAUACCGGACCGUCGGGGUAGUUAGAU
rnacentral:rRNA from 1 species